GACAGAGGGUGCAAACGUUGCUCGGAAUUACUGGGCGUAAAGCGCGUGUAGGUGGAUUGGUGUGUCAGAUGUGAAAUCCCUGGGCUCAACCCAGGAACUGCACCUGAAACUACCAGUCUUGAGUGGUGGAGAGGGAAGUGGAAUUCCUGGUGUAGAGGUGAAAUUCGUAGAUGUCAGGAGGAACACCAGUGGCGAAGGCGGCUUCCUGGACACUAACUGACGCUGAGACGCGAAAGCGUGGGGAGCAAACAGG
rnacentral:rRNA from 1 species